UUCUGGUUGAUCCUGCCGGAGGCUACCGCUAUUGGAGUUCGAUUAAGCCAUGCGAGUCGAGAGUCUUAGGGACUCGGCGUACCGCUCAGUAACACGUGGGUAACCUGCCCUAUGCUGGGGAAUAACCUCGGGAAACUGAGAAUAAUACCCCAUAGUUCACCACGCCUGGAACGGUGGGUGGAUGAAAGCUCCGGCGGCAUAGGAUGGGCCUGCGACGUAUCAGGUUGUAGGGGGUGUAACGUACCCUCUAGCCAUCAACGCGUACGGGUGUUGGGAGACAUAGCCCGGAGAUGGAUUCUGAGACACGAAUCCAGACCCUACGGGGUGCAGCAGGCGCGAAAACUUGGCAAUGCGAGCAAUCGUGACCAGGGAACUCCAAGUGGCUGGGGUAAUACCCAGUUUUUUCUUGACUCUUCAAAGGUCUUGGAAUAAGGGGUGGGUAAGGACGGUGCCAGCCGCCGCGGUAAUACCGGCGCCUCAAGUGGUAGUCGCUUUUAUUGGGCCUAAAACGUCCGUAGCCGGUCUGGUGCAUUCGUGGGUAAAUCAACCCGCUCAACGGGUUGAAUUCUGCGAGCACGGCCAGACUUGGGACCGGGAGAGGUGUGGGGUACUCUCAGGGUAGGGGUAAAAUCCUGUCAUCCUGAGAGGACCACCUGUUGCGAAGGCGCCACACUAGAACGGAUUCGACGGUCAGGGACGAAACCUAGGGGCACGAACCGGAUUAGAUACCCGGGUAGUCCUAGGUGUAAACGCUGUGGACUUGAUGUUGGGGGUGCUCCGAGCA
rnacentral:rRNA from 1 species